rnacentral:tRNA from 1 species
GGAGAGGUGUCCGAGUGGCUUAUGGUGCAUCCUUGGAAAGGAUGUGUACUGCAAAGUACCGCAGGUUCAAAUCCUGUCCUCUCUGCCA